UUCCGGCCCGUUAACGACGCUCAUGCUCGAAGGCGCGGGUAUCAAACAGGAUUAGAUACCCUGGUAGUCCGCGCGGUAAACGAUGAGUGCUCGGGAUUUGGGCAUUAGCCUGAGUCCCCCAGCGAAAGCGUUAAGCACUCCACCUGGGGAGUACGCCGGCAACGGUGAAACUCAAAGGAAUUGACGGGGGCCCGCACAAGCGGAGGAACAUGUGGUUUAAUUCGAUGAUACGCGAGGAACCUUACCCGGGCUUGAAAUGUGCAUGACGACCCCGAGAGACCGGGGUCUCCUUCGGGCAUGCAUGUAGGUGCUGCAUGGUUGUCGUCAGCUCGUGCCGUGAGGUGUCGGCUCAAGUGCCAUAACGAGCGCAACCCCUUCCGCCGGUUACCAUCGGGUUAUGCCGGGGACUCCGGCGGCACUGCCGCCGCAAGGCGUGAGGAAGGCGGGGAUGACGUCAAAUCAGCACGGCCCUCACGUCCGGGGCCACACACGUGUUACAAUGGGGGGCACAGCGAGCAGGACCAGGGCGACCUGGUUCGAAUCAACAAAUCCCCUCCCAGUUCGGACUGGAGUCUGCAACCCGACUCCACGAAGCCGGAUU
rnacentral:rRNA from 1 species